rnacentral:lncRNA from 1 species
AUCGAACAUUUUUUUAUUAUUUUUUUUACGUACAACACAUUUACUCUUUUUUUUUUAUUCAUUUUCGUAUUUUUUAGUACUUUAAGAAUCUAUUUUUUUCGAUUAUUUUCUACGUGAUAUUGAAAAUUAUGAAUUUAAAAAAAAAAUCGGUCUCAGUCAUGUAUAGACAUCCAUAGGAAACUAUAGGAAACUGUAGUAAUCUGUAGUAACCUGUAGUAAACCAUAGACAUCUAUGAUAGCAUAUUCUUGAAACCCUAAUUUCUCCUUUUAACCAUAGCCGCCAGACCCAUAGUAACCCAUAGACAUCAAAUCGAAAUUUUUUUGAUUCAUCCCACCAAACCCCAGAUCCACCCACCAAACCCUAGAUCCGUGACGCCGAAAGCCACCCACCAUCCACGUCUCUAAGGAUACCACCGGCCACCCACCCAUGCUGCCAUCACAUAUCCGCACAUCACCACACCACCAACACCAUUCUCGAACUUGGGGCGCCAGCGUCACCCUCGAAGCCGCCUCCGCUACGCAUUCCAUUGUCGCUUCAGAUCCACCGCCUCCACCAUAGAUCCGACGCGCCACCGCUACCCACUUCGUCGGCGCCUUCACCAUAGAUUCACCGCAACCGCAGCCACCGCCUUAAUAUUCAGAUCUGCCCACUCCGCCGCCGCCUUCUCGUCGGUCGCCACCCCAUUUGCUUCUCCAAUCAAAAAACUAGUUCAGAGGGAUAGAGAAAGGGAGAGAAAAAGAGAAAAGGAGAAAAAGAGAAAAAGAGAAAAAAAAAUGAGAGACAGAGAGAGAAAGAAAGAAAGCGAUGGAGAGAGCGGGAGAGAAAAUGAGAAAAAGGA